UGCCCAGCCCCCUUGGGCACUGGGCAGGGCUCGGCGCGCCACCUGCUCGACGGAAUGCCUGACCCUGUACGCCGCAGGCAAGUUCCUCUCUACACACCUCAUUCAGGAAGUUCUUUAACUCUAGAAAUUGCUCAUGGUUUCCUCUCUUGAUGUUUCCACAGAAAAUUUGCGAAUAGCUGCUCUUACAUGAGUUAAUUUUUCUAACACCAGAAAGCAGCUUACAGAGUACAUGGCUUAAUAAUAUUCCUGAAUUGCCUGAAUCUAAGAGCUAGCCAUGCAGUAAAUCAUAUAGUCUCUAUCUGCAUGGUUUUUGUGCGUGCUUGUUAUGUUGAGAGAGACCGUGUGGUGUGUGUGUAUGAUCCUUCUACCGAGUUCUGCAGUGCGCCUAGUUGGCCUUGGCGACGAACCUAGCUAGUUGGCUUCAUGUUGGCCCUGUGUCACCGUUCAAUUUUUUGUUCUGCUACUAAAAGCCCUUGGAUCUCUGCGAGUACUCUUUAAUGAGCCUGGAGAAUUCAGAGUUCUUGUUUUCCAGUAAUCUCGACGGCGUGUCAUAUUCUAUAAUUCUUCCUGCUCAUCACAAAAGAGUGCAGAUUUUAGCAAUGUGGCGGCUAGGUACAAUAAAAUGUAGAUAAAUGUUUUGUGUUCGUCAAUAAUGUUGCUUACCUUCACUGAAGACAAGAAUCAGAUCGCUGUCAAUAACCGUGUGAAUUCUAUGUGCUACUGUCAGCACCGUGCAGUCCCCAAACUCCUCCCGGAGUGUUUGCUGGAUAAUUGCAUCAGUAGAUGAGUCAACCGAAGCAGUUGCCUCGUCGAGGACAAGAACAUUGCUUCGCUUUAGUAAAACCCUUCCCAGACAAAACAACUGCCUCUGUCCGACACUCCAAUUUUCCCCAUUUUCGACAACUGCAGGAGAAGAGAAAUCUCAUUUGAUCAUCUCUUUCUUAGCCAAGCUAGCCUAUGUUUUCGAUUGUACAGAAAAACAAUGCUAUUACCUGUUGAGUCCAGUUUCUUUGGGCUUUGACGAACUAUGUCCCCAAGCUGGCAUUUGUCCAAUGUCUGACGAAAAGAAAUGUACUUUAGCUAUCAAGUAGAGGAACUACAUCAUCCAGUUGUUUUGAUCAUUACUCUUUUUUUUGUAAGUUAUCCUUUUGCUUUUAUUCAUUGUAGAUAUGUUUGAGGAAUGAAUUUGAUCAUGUUUUAAUCUAUAUAAAACAUUACAUCACCUUCAGUACCUCAAAAGGUUUUCAUUAUCCAGAACUAUUUGUUUUGGUUUUUCAGAAGAACUAUUUGUUUUGCAAUAUGGACUAUUGGCCAUAAUGAGUAAUGAUACAAGGUGUUGGAUUCUCUUUUGCACAUGCUAAGUUACUGGUUCACUUAUCAUUGGGACAUGCAUAAUUGAUUUUUUUUACCUCCCAUACACGUUCAUCUGAAUAUUCAUUCAGUGGAUCAAGAUUUCCUCUGACUGUGCCCUCAAACAUUGUUGGGUCUUGUGGGAUGAUGCUAAGUCUUCCUCGUAAAUCAUGCAGCCCUAGUUUGCUGAGAUCAACAUUGUCGAUUUCAAUUGUUCCUUCUCUUGGUUCAACAAUCCGGAAAAGUGCUUGAAUCAAAGUUGACUUUCCACUGCCAGUACGUCCAACAAUCCCCAGCUUCUUCCGCCCUGGAAUUGUGCAUGAUAUAUUUCUUAAAACAGAUGGGAGAUGCUCUGCAUAUCGAACCUGUAAAAGCAAAUAGCCACGUUAGAUGACUUCUUUUGAGCAUGCACACAUUUUAUGAGAAAUUCAAGAAUAAAAGAGAUCAGAAUUUUCUAAAAAAAAGUGAGAACUUCCCUUUCAAUUGUACAGAAUAUCAAAUGCUACAUAUAUGUCAGUAUGAUUCUUUUACAAAACAAAGAUGCUACUUUUGUUGUUUAUGUUUUCUUUGUGUUGAAUAAUCUGUACUUUAUUUUUCUCAACAUACAAUUUAGUCUUGUUCCAGAGAAGACAUAACUAGCCUGUCCCUAAUUAUGUACACAUUUUCCUUUCUGGUAGAACAUAUACUAUGGAGUAUAAACACUAACUAUGAUCUUUUCUUGUUUUGCUCUGGAAUAUAUUUGCAAGCCAGUUUCCUCUGUUUUGGAGCAUAGUUUAUCCAGUUUUAAACGUAGUCAACGAGUCAUACGGAGUAUUUCUAGGCUAACACACCCCAGCAAUAGAAUUUAUGCUAUAUUGUACAAUUUUCACAUGCAUAGUUGUACUUAUGUAGGGUUGUUGGUCGUAAGUGAUAAUUCGCAUGUGCAUACCUCCAAGUUUCUUAUAUUUAUAGUGCCAUCCUUUGGCCAGCUGUUUGGGGGACGGUGAUCAUCAAUUGUUAGAGGGGCCUCACUAGGGAUCCUUGAGUACUGCAUUAUUCUUUCAACCGAAAUCAUUUUAUUCUCUGCGUUGCAAAUGUUCCAGGUUAUAGCUGACAACUGUCCAUUAAGGUUCAGCGCAUAAGUCACUGCAAGUCCAGCA
rnacentral:lncRNA from 1 species